rnacentral:rRNA from 1 species
AUUGGCCUCAGAAGCGGCGAGUGAAGCGGCAAAAGCUCCAUUUUGAAAGCUCUUCGGAGCGUUGUAGAUUGGUGGGAAGCUAACGGCUGGUGGGAGACCAAGUCCUCUGGAACGAGGCGCCAUAGAGGGUGAGAGCCCCGUGUGUCUCCUUUACCGACCUUUCAGCCCCCUCCGCGGAGUCGAGUUGUUUGGGAAUGCAGCUCUAAGUGGGUGGUAAAUUCCAUCUAAGGCUAAAUAUUGGCGAGAGACCGAUAGCGAACAAGUACAGUGAUGGAAAGAUGAAAAGCACUUUGAAAAGAGAGUGAAACAGUACGUGAAAUUGUUGAAAGGGAAGGGUAUUUGGCCCGACAUGGGUCCUAUGCACCGUUGCCUCUCGUGGGCGGCGCUCUGCUUGGGCCUGGGCCAGCGUCAGUUUGGAGGGGGCGAGAAGGGUUUUGGGGAGUUGCCUAGCAAUUCCCCUUUGCUAGAUUGCCCCACACCGGACUGAGGACCGCCAUCUGUAGGAUGCUGGCACAACGGCCAAAUACCGCCCGUCUUGAAACACGGACCCACA